AUUGAAUCAAUUAAUAGCAUGUACAAGGAAACUCCGAUUAUUUGAAGGAGUGGAGAAAAAUGACUUGAUUCUUUACAAGUAGUGGAGACUAUUAUUAGUAUUCCAGAUAGAGUGUGUUCUUAGGAGUCCAUCAUGUGCUUUGAUCUGUCUGCAUCCACAGCUGGAAACUUUGCGCCAGUCUCUGGAAGCAGCACGAACUGACAACAGUCGCCUCCAUCAGGAAAGUGAGUUAGUGGUUGAAAAUGUUAAUCAGUGGAUCAAAGAACAAAAAAUUACAGGCUGUUAAUUCCUCUGGGAUCAUUGCUUCCUAUCAGAUUAAUUUGAAUUGACCAGCAUUUUCAGAAGUUACUGUGUAUGUGUGGACAGAAAGAGACAUACCACUGAAUGUGAGGAAGAGGAGGUUCUUUGAAAUAUGUAUGACCGGCGUGAGAUUAAGAAACAACAGUUCAAAUGUUGGUCCGACCCGUUUAUUACAAACGUUAAUAAGGGAGAUGAAGAAAGGGGAGGACGGACACUAUUACGGAUUGGGGUGAUGGGAAAGGGAAGGCAAGCGAUAGAAAAGAUAGAAAGAAGCAAGAAUUGCGUAAAGCGGGGAUAGUCACCACCAGGAUCCGGCAGCAGUCCCGUUGCACGACAUUCCUAUGGUCCGAGGCCGAAGGGCAGGAGCAGCGAGGCCAGUCUUGGACAACGAGAGGGUGCAGGUACUGGGAGGGUCCAGGAAGAAGCCGCAGAGUAAGUCUGGGAGGAAGCAGCAGGUCUCAGGUAGCAGGCCCAGGGAAGUCCAUCAGCAUACGGUCCGUAGUGAAUGAUCUGAUGGCAGAAACCUCGAGUCCGUCAUGCUGAGGGAUAUGAUGGCAGAAAACCCCCUCCUCAUGGUAAUUGGACCCUCUUUUAUCCUCCUCUUUUUCCUGCCUACGUGACAUCCCUGGGUGUUUGAGCAAGAGUCAUGUGUGUAGCUCCUGAGAUGGCCAUCUUCCUCGAGAUAAGUCCACACAAAAGACCAUUUCCCGGCCAUUAUCAGCAGCUUAUCCCUCUCUUGUUGCCCCUGGAUUUGUCCAUCUGUGCUCCUUAAAGGAUUUCAAAACCCUUAGCCAGGACCUGUCCAUCAGUGUCCUCUAGACAGAAGAUUUCUGUACCUUUGCCCAGGACUUGCCUGGACUUGUUCCUCAGCAAACUUUGAGUCAAUCAUAUAAAAGAAUAAUCUCUUACAACCGUGUAAAAAGUCAUUCCCCUACUGCAAUUUAAUGUAGUGUGUAUUUUAAUGUACUGUGAUUAGCAAUCCCUCAGAGUUUUAAAAUAUCCCAACAAUAAGAGUUUUGAAGGUUUGAAUUUACUUAUCCCAUAAGAUUACAAACUCUGAAAAUAUAUCUCAAGUAUCUGCUGCUUUAGCUUGUGUAUGCUCUUUUAAGCUUAAAUAAACACAUUUUUCAUACAUUAUAAAAAUAUAAGUAAAUGUCUCUCUUAAACUGCUUAAAAAUUAUAAUGCAGUUUUCAAUGUCAUACGCAAUGUACUACACUGUUGUCCAUUAUAGACAAACAACAGGCUACAUAACAUAGGAUUGAUCAUCUAAUAAUAGACACAUGUGGUAGCUCUUUUUUUUCCUUUCUUUAUUGAUGAUCCAAUGUAUUAUUGCUUAAGUUUUUAGUUCAUAAACAUUAGCACACAAAAUUACCACUGUGGGAUCAAAAAUAUAAUCUCUCAUUUACAUUUGUGAAAGGUAGUACUGCAAAUUUACUCUUUUCAUUUUGGCUUUGUGUGUGUGUGUGUGUGUCAGGGGAAGGUGGUUAAUAGCACUGAAUUAAAUCACAGAAUCAUCAAAUCAUACAAUAGAUAUCCAUUUAUAGAAAAUAAGCAGUGGAGGCUGUAGACAGUAGGUUAAAGACAUAAAUACAUUUUUUUUCCAAAUCUAUAGAAAUACACAAUAUGAAUUGCCUGUAACAGCAAUAAAUACGUUUCUAAUGAAGACAUGUAUUGAAGAAAAAAGUCCACAGACUUUUACACGGCUUUUUGAGGUUGUUCAAAUUACAAACAGUUAAAUUAGUUGAUCCAAUCUUUAAACCUAAGGGUUUAACUCUCACAAAAUCUUUUGAUGUGUUUUCAUUAGUUUCCCAUUACAUCUUCUUGGAGAAAACUUUAGAAUAUACUCCAAAAGUCCAUAUUAGACUGACAUUCAUGCUCAAUUUUUGAGUUUUAAAAAAAUUUUUAGUCAUUUAUCGAGUACACAGAAGUAAAUAUCUCUGAAAAGACACUGAUUUUGAAAGAUUUCUAUGUCAUAAAUGGGACAUUUCAUAGCCACUGUGCAGGUAAUCAUGAGAAAAUUUAGCAUAUUCAAGUUCCUUUACACCAGAAUGGCCACAAACCUAUUUGCUACUUAGCCAUUUAACACAAUUAUUUACUGUUCAAGAGAUACACAGUUACUAUAGCAACAACUACAUUUGCCACCCCAGAAUAAAUUGAAGGCCUAAUCUGUCCUGCCAGUAAAGCAAAAAGCUUUUCAAAAUGUAGUUUAUCUAUUGCCUUUAUAAUAGAAAUUAGUGGCACUCAAAUUAUGACCCAUGAUCUGGUUUCAGACUGCCAGCUUUGAUCUUGCAAGUGUUACACCUGGCUCAUAGUUUAACUGUAUGUUCAGUAGCUUUGACAACUUUAAUAUACUAUUUUAUAUAAAUAAAAUGCUUCAGCUGACUUUUUCUAAUUGUGGCAGAAAAGAAGAAACUAUGCUGUAGAGACUUAUGAAAAUAUGGCUGGAAACUUGAUUUCACUCUUAAAAUAUUUCUUAGAAUUUUCUGGCUGC
rnacentral:lncRNA from 1 species